GGGGAGGAUACAGGGAAACUUGGUUAAAAACAGAGUUAAAGGGAAUGGGUCUCGGAAGCCGAGGGUCUGAAGUUCAAGACUCCUAGAAGGGGAGGGGAAUGAAAGCCACUCAGUGAAGAAGGAAUGAUGAAAUUUACUGCACAGAAUGGGUAUGAAAAUGAAGUGAGCCAGCAAAAAUGAAAGUGGACCCUGUAACCUCUGGCACACAUAGUCACUUAUGCCUUUCCUUCUGCUGUCAGAUGGUGGUUGUGAGUUUCCGUAGAUGAGAAAUCUGAGGACAGCUUAGCUGGGUGCUCCUGGUGCAGGUCUCUGACAGGGCUGCCGUCAUCUCCAGGCUUGAAUGGGGAGAUUCUGCUUCCAAGCUCACUCACCUGUCUGUUGGCUGAAGACAUCCUUUCCUUGCCAUGAGUCCUCUCUGUAAGGCAGCUCACAGUAUGAGCUGUCUUCUCUAUUAGUGAGAGAACAGGAGAUGGUGCCCAAGGCAGAAGCCAUAGCCUUUUUAUAACCUCAUCUCAAAAGCAACAUCCCCUCACGUGUGCUAUAUUCCAUUAGUUAGAAGUGAGUCUGGAGUUCCCUGGUGGCUCAGAGGGUUAAGGAUCCAGUGUUGUCACUGCCGUGGCUCUGGUUACUGCUGUGAUGCAGGUUUGAUCCCUGGCCCAGGAACUUCUGCAUGCCAUGGGCAUGGGAAAAAAGAGAGAUCAAGAAGUGAAUCAGGGAGUUCCCAUCAUGGCAUGGCGGAAGCGAAUCAGACUAGGAACCAUGAGGUUUCGGGUUCGAUCCCUGGCCUUGCUCAGGAGUUAAGGAUCUGGCAUUGCUGUGAGCUGUGGUGUAGGUCACAGAUGCAUUUCGGAUCUGGCAUUGCUGUGGCUGUGGUGUAGGCUGGCAGCUGUAGCUCUGAUUAGACCCCUAGCCUGGGAACCUCCAUAUGCUGCAGGUGUGGCCCUAAAAUGACAAAANGGCCCAAAAAAAAAAAAAAAAAAAAAAAAAAAAAAAAAAAGAAUCAGUAAGCCUACAGUCAACUAGAGGGGUCCCAGGAAAGUGUGACUGGGAGGCAAGAACCACUAUGGGCCAUCUCAGAGGUGCUGUACCACACCACUCUAUCCAAGCCAUUUCUUUUUUUUCCCCAUCACUUCUUAGGGUUGUGCUUGCGGUGGGCAGUCUUGAGGGAUAAAGUAACAUCUUUCUCUGGGACAAAGAGCAGGUUUAGCUUGCUACUUGCUAGAAAAGCAGUGGGUUCCCCACAUUUAUUGUCCCCAGCUGCAACACAAACCCACUGCAUGGAUGGCAUCUUCUGUGCCCCUUCAUGUCACCCAAGUGGAACUUGGGGAUGAGGAAUUCUUGCAAACAUUUGUGAUGCUCAUUCUUUUUUUGCUGUGCUCUGACUAAUAAAGUUCUUUUUCUC
rnacentral:lncRNA from 1 species